rnacentral:lncRNA from 1 species
AUCCUAGGAUUUAGCGCUGAUGGGGUCCUAAGACAAGGUGGUGCUUUGGUGGAUGAUCAACCUAAAGCUGAGUUGCAUGGCCAGGGUGGGCAUCCAGCGGGAGUGGGCACAGGUGCGCCCCACUGUGGCCUGACACUGCUUGCUGUGUUCUGGGCAGGCGCAGGACCCUGCUGGGACAGCCCAGAACACCACGUCCUCUCUUGCUGUCCCUGGGCAGGGCCACACCCAUUCCCUACUGUGAGCUUGCUACAACAGGGUGGCUUAUAUUCCAGGUAACUGCAGCCUCCAGCCUCACCAAGCUCAGCUCCACCUCCGUCUGGAGGCCUCGGGCAUUUGCGACGUCUCCCUUGCAGAGCACUGCCUUUGCAGAGAGCUGCAGGCAAAACUCAGAGGCCAAGGGUGACUCCUGUCGCACCACGUCCAGUCCACCAGCCGCCCCGUUUCUCCAAAGCACCGACAUCCUGUGCUACUUCAGCUGCUUCCUGAGGUUUUCUGCAGCCUCACUGGAGCGUGGAAGCCACGAGGAGAGGCCCUGUGUUCUCCAGUCAGCACCUGCUCAGCACAUACAGAAGCCUCUGUGGAAGGCCCGGAUGAGCCUGUACCCACGAUCCCACCCCUACCGUGUGCCAGGCUCUCGCCGAUCCCUGUAGAACACACACACAAGGGGCUGUGGAGCCUGAGACAAGUCCUGUCACUCCCCG